rnacentral:rRNA from 1 species
GACGAACGCUGGCGGCGUGCUUAACACAUGCAAGUCGAACGGAAAGGCCCUGCUUUUGUGGGGUGCUCGAGUGGCGAACGGGUGAGUAACACGUGAGUAACCUGCCCUUGACUUUGGGAUAACUUCAGGAAACUGGGGCUAAUACCGGAUAGGAGCUCCUGCUGCAUGGUGGGGGUUGGAAAGUUUCGGCGGUUGGGGAUGGACUCGCGGCUUAUCAGCUUGUUGGUGGGGUAGUGGCUUACCAAGGCUUUGACGGGUAGCCGGCCUGAGAGGGUGACCGGCCACAUGGGGACUAAGAUAGGGCCCAGAAGCCAACGGGAGGCAGCGGUGGGGAAUAUUGCACAAUGGGCGGAAGCCUGAUGCAGCAACGCCGCGUGCGGGAUGACGGCCUUCGGGUUGAAAACCGCUUUCGCCUGUGACGAAGCGUGAGUGACGGUAAUGGGUAAAGAAGCACCGGCUAACUACGUG